AAUAAAGACAAAGGCUCCCUUGGAAACACAACAAAGACUAGAGUUUUCGAAAACUAAAUAACAUAAAAGCAUAGCUUAAAAAUAUAAGAUAAGGUCUUCAUGUGGACAGACCAAGAUCAAUCAUCUAGGAGAUAGGAGAAGUAGACUUGUGGCCUCGUUAAAAACCUUCCUUUGGAAAACCCAGUGGGACAAAACCAAAGGUUAGGAAAAGAGCACACACAAGCUACUUGCCUAGAUGAUGAUCAGCUUGAAGGUGGAGUAGCUUGAAUGAUGGUUAAGGUGUCUUGGAUGAUCAAGCUUCGGCCAAGACUAAUGUAUUCUUCUUGUUUCCAAAUGUUCUUCAAGGUUGCAUCCUCAGCUACAAGCUCUUCAGGUUCAGGUUCAUGCUUCCAGUCCUUGGUGCUUUCCAUGAUCAUAUCAUCCCCUCCCACUUCAAAAAGAUUUGUCCUCAAAUCUGUGUUACCUGCAAUAGAAGGGACCAAGUCAGUAACAUCAGAGUUUAUAAUCAGAUUACACUUACCUUGCAAGCCUCUUUGAUAGGCAUUGUCGCUGACUGGUUCUAUUAUAUAGAAGGGACUGAUCCAUUUGGCUCUCCUUACUCCUGAGGCAUUACUUAAACCUGAUACAUUGAAACAAGAUAAGUGAACACAAGCAAAAACAUCAUAGAGUAAGAGUAUUAUCCCAAAGUUGUAUUUUAUCGGUUUUGGCUUGUAUGCUGCAUCUGGAGGUGCUUCUUUGAUGAGGAUGAAGCAAGUGACGUCAUGAUGUCUCUCCUGGCUUAGAUCAGGCGGCUUGAAACGUUUGUCUUCCUCACGCUUGUUCUUUCUCUUUGCAUUCUUCAAAGCUUCCAUAUAAUCUGCACAUGACUCUUUUGGCAAAAACAAGUGCAUCAUAUCUGUGUAAUCAAUAAAAGAACUCUUGAAAACAUGAUUAGUUACCUUAGCAUGCUCACCUGGUCGCCAUAGAUAGGAUUGAGAUGUUCUACACUCAGAAAAGUUCAGACAAAGCAAACACAGAAUCACCCGUCUUGUAGAACCCAUAACUCUUUCAUUUGAAAAGCUUUGGACAUGAUUCCAGUUCGACGUGAGACCCUGAUGAGUGUAGUUUCCAUUGCAGUUGAGUUUGUUGCUUAAUUCCUUCUGGUUGCUGAGAUAUGAUCCUCGGACUGCUCCUAUGUCAGAGUUGGCGGCUAGACAGCUUCCAAGAUUUGAUUGUUGCAUCUCCAACUUUGCCAAGGACUCAUCAGUAUAGCCCCUCUUUUUACCUGUACACUUCUCAGCUCUUUUUGGACAAGUCAAGUGUGUUAUCAUGUCAAAGAAAGUGUUGUAGACCAGAAUGUCUCCAAAGCACAAAACAGCAUGAUUCCUCCAUCUAUUAUGCAUAUCAAAGAAAAUACUGCAGACCCAGAUAUCAUUAAGGUUCAAGUUCACACAUUCAGAAUUAGUGAUAUCUAGUUUCAAUUGUGCAGCAGGUUUAUCAAAGAAAGUGUUAUACACUAGAAUAUCAUCAAAGAACCAACCUACAUGUUUAGAAUCAUUUUCAGCACACAAACAAUCAAGCUCAAACUUAGUGAACUUUGCAGAUUUCACAAAUUUAAAUCUAAAAUCAGAUUGAUGCAAUUUCGGUUCCUGCAACUUCUUAGGUUCAUUCAAUACAUAAGCAGAAACACAAGAAUUAUCAAGGAUCAGUUUAUGCACAUGGAAGUUCGUAACAAAACUCCUUUCUUCAGUUCUAGCAAAUGAAUCACAAGGUUUCAAACAGAAAUCAGAUUGUUUCAAUUCAAGCUCUAAAACCUUUUCAAAAUGAUCAAAACUUUUGACAUGUUUCAGAAAAUGAUCAAAACUCAGAAUAUGACCACAAAUGUUAUUAUUUUGAUUUUGAAAACGUUUUUGAUCAAAGAUGAUUUCUGGUUUAAUUUCUUUAAAAGAUUUAAACAUGUUAUCAAAAACAGAUUUUGAAACACAAAAAUCUUUUACUUUAUCAAGACCAAAACGUUUUAUGUCUUCAGUACUCACUUUAACAAACAUUCUAGGCACAGAAGCAACCAUAUUAAACUCCUUACAGUGCUCUUGCAGAUCAUAAGACAAAGAUUCAUGAGCUGAUUUUGUCUGCAAGUUUUUCUGUUGUUCUUCUUGUGUUGUACUCUCUGGUUCUUUUUCUGCUGAGUCUUCUUUUGCAACCUGUGACACUGAAACAAUUCUACUCGGUUGCACCGGUCCAAGACAAGUUAGUUCAUUAAAGGAAUUAUCAAAAUUAGAUUCAGAGUGAGGUAAGAACAGAGAAAACUCUUGUUCUUUCUCAAACUUUCCUUUUCCCAUAGAUGUUUUGGUUUGAGCUUCUUGAAUUGGGGCAGCUGAGUCUGGUUCUGCAUCAUUGAGUUCUGAGACAGUAGCAACUGGUUCUUGAUUCUUUGGGAGCUUCUUCUGCUUGUCUAAGUGCUUGCUGGUCUUAAGAAUCUCCUUAACAAGGCUGCUGAUUUCUUUCUCAUAAUCAGCCAUCUUGGUUUCUGAUUUUUCACUUUUGAAGUCUGUUGCGGAUAUGACUUUCUUCUUUGGAGAUUUCAGAGAAGUGUGGCCUUUGGAUGCAUACUUCUUCCCUAGUAGCAACUUCAGAUCUUCCCAAGUGGUGAUAGCUGGUUCCUUGUAGUACCUGCGAUCAUCUUCUUCUUGCAACAACCACUUAAAAACGUUUCCUUUGAGCUGAGACAUCACAUAAGCCAAUGCUUCUCUCUUCAGGAUUUUGUUGUAGCAAAGCCACUUCUCCAUUGUUCUUUCCCACUUUAAAUAAUCACCUUCCCCUGUAAAAACAUAAAGUUGAGGCUUAGUGACAAUUUGAUUGUAAGAAGAAUGAAUAUUUGAUUUAGGAGUGCGAGAAGCUUGAUGUGGUCUGCUCGAAGUGUGGGCUGGCUGUUUGUAAGACUGUUGGCCACGUCCUGCUUCCUCUUCCUUAUACCACUUAUGCUUGCUUGAUUCGUUUGGAACAGAAUCUGGUGGUCUAGGCUCAAGCUUUUGUUUGUCCAUUCUCUUUUUAUUUUGCUGCCUAAGAUCAUCAGUUUGCUGCAGAAACUUUUGUCUAAGCUCCUUUCGAAAUUCACCCAUGUUGGUAUCCAAUAUCUGCUGCAUUUGAGCAUUCAUAGAUUUAAGUAACAGCCUUUCUUCCUUAGUGAGUUUUCCUUUCUGAUCUCCUGCCAUUGUACCUGAGACAGAAAACAACACACAGCAGUAACAAGUUCUACAGAGAAAACAAAAAUCAAUUUGCAAAACCAGAAACAGAUUCAAACUGAAGCUUAAAACCUUAGACAAUUCUCAGAACAAAUUAGAAACUCAACCAAUGAUUUAAAACAGAUCAAAACUAAUCUGAACAGAACUGAUAAAUCACAAACCUAACAGAUCAGAUUGAUUUCGAAACAGAACAGAGAGAUUUUGAUUUCAGGUUCACUUUCAAGUCUAGUACAUCAAGUUUAAUCAAAACAGAGUAGAUCAAGACAGAAACAAAUUCGAAAUUUCAGAAACAGAAACAGAUUGAUCAAGUAAAUCAGAAAACUUUCUCAGCAAGGUAUAUGAAGAGUUUUUAACACACAAACGAAAUCAGAUAAACUUAAUCUAUCAAAUUUCGACAGCCACAACACAGAUCUAUCAGUUUCUAGCAUGAAUAUGAAGAGACAAAUCGAAAAUCAUAGAGAAAGAUGAACACUUCCCUUCCAGAGUUGCUCUGAUACCACUUGAUGAGAUCCUAGGAUGAUGCUCUGGAACAGAUGGGAUAAUCCUUGCAGAAACGAAUCAAAAGACUCAAGUUUCUCAAGGUAUGUGGAUCGAAUGGUGACACAAGAGGCUGCGGAAAGGCUCCUUGAUACUCCUAGGCAAUAGAUUGGAUAUGACACACCAAACUAGAGCCCUUAGUCUCUGGAUAUUACACACCAGAAGUUGGAUAUUACACACCAACACUCAAUCAACUCGACAAGCAAGAAGAAAAGAGAAAACAAAGGUUUUUGAUAAAAAGAUGGAUACUGAUACAAGGGGCCACGACCAGAAUAUAAAGGAGAAGCCUUGUACAUGCACAAGGUCUCGAAAAUACAAAGGAAAUAAAGACAAAGGCUCCCUUGGAAACACAACAAAGACUAGAGUUUUUCGAAAACUAAAUAACAUAAAAGCAUAGCUUAACAUAUAAGAUAAGGUCUUCAUGUGGACAGACCAAGAUCAAUCAUCUAGGAGAUAGGAGAAGUAGACUUGUGGCCUCGUUAAAAACCUUCCUUUGGAAAACCCAGUGGGACAAAACCAAAGGUUAGGAAAAGAGCACACACAAGCUACUUGCCUAGAUGAUGAUCAGCUUGAAGGUGGAGUAGCUUGAAUGAUGGUUAAGGUGUCUUGGAUGAUCAAGCUUCGGCCAAGACUAAUGUAUUCUUCUUGUUUCCAAAUGUUCUUCAAGGUUGCAUCCUCAGCUACAAGCUCUUCAGGUUCAGGUUCAUGCUUCCAGUCCUUGGUGCUUUCCAUGAUCA
rnacentral:lncRNA from 1 species